UACGAAGGGGGCGAGCGUUGUUCGGAUUUACUGGGCGUAAAGGGCGCGUAGGCGGCCGAUCAAGUCAGGCGUGAAAGCCCCGGGCUCAACCUGGGAAUGGCGCUUGGGACUGGUUGGCUUGAGUUCGGGAGAGGAGAGUGGAAUUCCCAGUGUAGAGGUGAAAUUCGUAGAUAGUUGGGAAGAACCGACGGUGCGAAGGCGGCUCUCUGGACCGAGACUGACGCUGAGGCGCGAAAGCGUGGGGAGCAAACAGG
rnacentral:rRNA from 1 species